rnacentral:rRNA from 1 species
ACGGAGGUGGCAAGCGUUGUUCGGAAUUACUGGGCGUAAAGGGCGCGUAGGCGGCUUGGCAAGUCAGAUGUGAAAGCCCCAGGCUUAACUUGGGAACUGCAUCUGAAACUGCUUUGCUUGAGUCCUGGAGGGGGCAGUGGAAUUCCCAGUGUAGCGGUGAAAUGCGUAGAUAUUGGGAGGAACACCGGCGGCGAAGGCGGCUGCCUGGACAGUGACUGACGCUGAUGCGCGAAAGCUAGGGGAGCAAACGG